GUGCAAUGGCAUAAGCCAGCUUGACUGCGAGCGUGACGGCGCGAGCAGGUGCGAAAGCAGGUCAUAGUGAUCCGGUGGUUCUGAAUGGAAGGGCCAUCGCUCAACGGAUAAAAGGUACUCCGGGGAUAACAGGCUGAUACCGCCCAAGAGUUCAUAUCGACGGCGGUGUUUGGCACCUCGAUGUCGGCUCAUCACAUCCUGGGGCUGAAGUAGGUCCCAAGGGUAUGGCUGUUCGCCAUUUAAAGUGGUACGCGAGCUGGGUUUAGAACGUCGUGAGACAGUUCGGUCCCUAUCUGCCGUGGGCGCUGGAGAACUGAGGGGGGCUGCUCCUAGUACGAGAGGACCGGAGUGGACGCAUCACUGGUGUUCGGGUUGUCAUGCCAAUGGCACUGCCCGGUAGCUAAAUGCGGAAGAGAUAAGUGCUGAAAGCAUCUAAGCACGAAACUUGCCCCGAGAUG
rnacentral:rRNA from 1 species